rnacentral:tRNA from 1 species
GGGGUUGUGGCUCAGUGGUAGAGCACUCUCCUAGCACAUGUGAGGCACUGGGUUCAAUCCUCAACACCA